rnacentral:tRNA from 1 species
GGGCGCUUCGUAUAAAGGACAAUACUACUGACUUCUAUUCAGUAAAUGAGGGUUCGAUUCCUUCAGCGUCCGCCA